GGGGAGUAUGACUUUAUCUUAGUUGAAAGUUUUACCAAGUUUUGGGUGUUCAACAUCAGGAAGUUCUACCUUGUUGUUUGGGGUAGGUCGUACAAUAAGUUCUAUAAUAAGUUCCAAGGUAAGCUCCAUGAAACAGCCGACUUGGCUACUGUUCCGACGAAACAUUUGAAACGAGUUUGAAACGAAACACAAAAUCUGUUCCAUAUACAUUCCUAAUAAAUAAUUCAUGGCCCUGCAAUGGGGUUUUGGAAGGCUGCCAUCCCCAGCAGUUGUUAAUAAGACUGGCAGUUUGGGAGAUGCCAAAACUUGUGUAAGAAGUCUACAUAGCCAAACCUUUUGUACCUCGUGCUGUAAGUAUUCCUGCAUGGACGCUGGACUAUUUGCUUUCCACAGUGCUAUAAAGUAUGGGCUUUUGUCUGCCAUGAUCAUUGUGUACAUAACUUUGACUUCAAACUGCCUGUUUAAUUCCACAGAAAAUGAGUGGAUAUAUUUUAUUUCAACAAAAGUCAGUUGAAGUUUAUACUGCACUUUGUGUGAUGUGCGAAAUAGGUUUAAUGCCCAGUGAUAUCACAUGUUUUUUAUUCCCCUUUCUUUGUUGAAUCAGAAUGAUAAAAGCUUCACAGGCUCUUGUUUACAGUCAAUAUUUUACUGCC